AAAAAAGGUAAGCUACUAAGAGCGAAUGGUGGAUGCCUUGACUGGUAAAGGCGAUGAAGGACGUACUAGACUGCGAUAAGCUACGGGGAGCUGUCAAGAAGCUUUGAUCCGUAGAUUUCCGAAUGGGGCAACCCAAUGUAUAGAGAUAUACAUUACCUAUAUAGGAGCGAACGAGGGGAAUUGAAACAUCUUAGUACCCUCAGGAAAAGAAAUCAAUAGAGAUUGCGUCAGUAGCGGCGAGCGAAAGCGCAAGAGGGCAAACCCAGUGCUUGCACUGGGGGUUGUAGGACUGCAAUGUGCAAGAGGUGAGUUUAGCAGAACAUUCUGGAAAGUAUAGCCAUAGAGGGUGAUAGUCCCGUAUGCGAAAAACAAACCUUAGCUAGCAGUAUCCUGAGUAGGGCGGGACACGAGAAAUCCUGUCUGAAGCUGGGUCGACCACGAUCCAACCCUAAAUACUAAUACCAGAUCGAUAGUGCACAAGUACCGUGAGGGAAAGGUGAAAAGAACUGAGGUGAUCAGAGUGAAAUAGAACCUGAAACCAUUUGCUUACAAUCAUUCAGAGCCCUAUGUAGCAAUACAGGGUGAUGGACUGCCUUUUGCAUAAUGAGCCUGCGAGUUGUGGUGUCUGGCAAGGUUAAGCAAACGCGAAGCCGUAGCGAAAGCGAGUCUGAAUAGGGCGCUUAGUCAGAUGCUGCAGACCCGAAACGAAGUGAUCUAUCCAUGAGCAAGUUGAAGCUAGUGUAAGAACUAGUGGAGGACUGAACCCAUAGGCGUUGAAAAGCCCCGGGAUGACUUGUGGAUAGGGGUGAAAGGCCAAUCAAACUUCGUGAUAGCUGGUUCUCUCCGAAAUAUAUUUAGGUAUAGCGUUGUGUCGUAAUAUAAGGGGGUAGAGCACUGAAUGGGCUAGGGCAUACACCAAUGUACCAAACCCUAUCAAACUCCGAAUACCUUAUAUGUAAUCACAGCAGUCAGGCGGCGAGUGAUAAAAUCCGUCGUCAAGAGGGAAACAACCCAGACUACCAGCUAAGGUCCCUAAAUCUUACUUAAGUGGAAAACGAUGUGAAGUUACUUAAACAACCAGGAGGUUGGCUUAGAAGCAGCCAUCCUUUAAAGAAAGCGUAAUAGCUCACUGGUCUAGUGAUUUUGCGCGGAAAAUAUAACGGGGCUAAAGUAAGUACCGAAGCUGUAGACUUGCGCACAACUUAGAUUAUUUAAGUUUAGAAUAUGAGAAACUAAGUUAUAUGUUUAGUUAUAUUUUUACUGAUUUUUAUAGAGUAAAGAUAGAAAUAAAACUUAGUAAAAUCAGUAAAAAUAUUCUUAGACUAAAGUUAAGUAGUUUAAGUUGUGUGCAAGUGGUAGGAGAGCGUUCUAUUUGCGUCGAAGGUAUACCGGUAAGGAGUGCUGGAGCGAAUAGAAGUGAGCAUGCAGGCAUGAGUAGCGAUAAUUAAUGUGAGAAUCAUUAACGCCGUAAACCCAAGGUUUCCUACGCGAUGCUCGUCAUCGUAGGGUUAGUCGGGUCCUAAGUCGAGUCCGAAAGGGGUAGACGAUGGCAAAUUGGUUAAUAUUCCAAUACCAACAUUAGUGUGCGAUGGAAGGACGCUUAGGGCUAAGGGGGCUAGCGGAUGGAAGUGCUAGUCUAAGGUCGUAGGAGGUUAUACAGGCAAAUCCGUAUAACAAUACUCCGAGAACUGAAAGGCUUUUUGAAGUCUUCGGAUGGAUAGAAGAACCCCUGAUGCCAUCGAGCCAAGAAAAGUUUCUAAGUUUAGCUAAUGUUGCCCGUACCGUAAACCGACACAGGUGGGUGGGAUGAGUAUUCUAAGGCGCGUGGAAGAACUCUCUUUAAGGAACUCUGCAAAAUAGCACCGUAUCUUCGGUAUAAGGUGUGGUUCGCUUCGUAUUAGGAUUUACUCCGAAAGCGAAGAAACUUACAACAAAGAGUCCCUCCCGACUGUUUACCAAAAACACAGCACUCUGCUAACUCGUAAGAGGAUGUAUAGGGUGUGACGCCUGCCCGGUGCUCGAAGGUUAAUUGAUGGGGUUAGCAUUAGCGAAGCUCUUGAUCGAAGCCCGAGUAAACGGCGGCCGUAACUAUAACGGUCCUAAGGUAGCGAAAUUCCUUGUCGGUUAAAUACCGACCUGCAUGAAUGGCGUAACGAGAUGGGAGCUGUCUCAAAGAGGGAUCCAGUGAAAUUGUAGUGGAGGUGAAAAUUCCUCCUACCCGCGGCAAGACGGAAAGACCCCGUGGACCUUUACUACAGCUUGACACUGCUAUUUGGAUAAGAAUGUGCAGGAUAGGUGGGAGGCUUUGAGUAUAUGACGCCAGUUGUAUAUGAGCCAUUGUUGAGAUACCACUCUUUCUUAUUUGGGUAGCUAACCAGCUUGAGUUAUCCUCAAGUGGGACAAUGUCUGGUGGGUAGUUUGACUGGGGCGGUCGCCUCCCAAAUAAUAACGGAGGCUUACAAAGGUUGGCUCAGAACGGUUGGAAAUCGUUCGUAGAGUAUAAAGGUAUAAGCCAGCUUAACUGCAAGACAUACAAGUCAAGCAGAGACGAAAGUCGGU
rnacentral:rRNA from 1 species